rnacentral:miRNA from 1 species
CGCUGUUUCGCAUUGUGCUUCG